rnacentral:rRNA from 1 species
UCGAGCGGUAGAGAGAAGCUUGCUUCUCUUGAGAGCGGCGGACGGGUGAGUAAUGCCUAGGAAUCUGCCUGGUAGUGGGGGAUAACGUUCGGAAACGGACGCUAAUACCGCAUACGUCCUACGGGAGAAAGCAGGGGACCUUCGGGCCUUGCGCUAUCAGAUGAGCCUAGGUCGGAUUAGCUAGUUGGUGAGGUAAUGGCUCACCAAGGCGACGAUCCGUAACUGGUCUGAGAGGAUGAUCAGUCACACUGGAACUGAGACACGGUCCAGACUCCUACGGGAGGCAGCAGUGGGGAAUAUUGGACAAUGGGCGAAAGCCUGAUCCAGCCAUGCCGCGUGUGUGAAGAAGGUCUUCGGAUUGUAAAGCACUUUAAGUUGGGAGGAAGGGCAGUUACCUAAUACGUAAUUGUUUUGACGUUACCGACAGAAUAAGCACCGGCUAACUCUGUGCCAGCAGCCGCGGUAAUACAGAGGGUGCAAGCGUUAAUCGGAAUUACUGGGCGUAAAGCGCGCGUAGGUGGUUAGUUAAGUUGGAUG